rnacentral:rRNA from 1 species
GGGGAAUCUUAGACAAUGGGGGAAACCCUGAUCUAGCCAUGCCGCGUGAGUGACGAAGGCCUUAGGGUUGUAAAGCUCUUUCAGCUGUGAAGAUAAUGACGGUAGCAGCAGAAGAAGUCCCGGCUAACUCCGUGCCAGCAGCCGCGGUAAUACGGAGGGGACUAGCGUUGUUCGGAAUUACUGGGCGUAAAGCGCACGUAGGCGGAUCGAAAAGUUGGGGGUGAAAUCCCGGGGCUCAACCCCGGAACUGCCUUCAAAACUAUUGGUCUGGAGUUCGAGAGAGGUGAGUGGAAUUCCGAGUGUAGAGGUGAAAUUCGUAGAUAUUCGGAGGAACACCAGUGGCGAAGGCGGCUCACUGGCUCGAUACUGACGCUGAGGUGCGAAAGCGUGGGGAGCAAAC